CUGAAUGUUUAAUCUAAUUUCAUAGCAGUGAAACGCAAUGAAGCUUUUCUAAACUCAAUUUUCAACAAAUUUCACCGAAACCCAAACCCAGUUUCCACAAAACUCUCGAAGAACAAAGUCGCAUCAGAAUUUUCAACAAAGUUCUGAGCUCUUUUCAAAUAGAAUCCAAACCCAGUUUCAUUGCAUUUCACCGAAACCCUUUUCACCAUCGCAGUGACGACAACGAAGUUGAAGAAGCUAGAGUUCACCAUCGCUCAUUUCACAGUGACAACAUGCAUUGGUAAAAUGAAGGUAUGGUUUUAUACUUUGAGUGACAUGCAUUGGUAGCUGAAAAAUUAGGGUUUUAUACUCCUGAAAAUGGACUGUUGGUUCUGAAAUUAGUUCCUAUUGUUUGAAUGUGUUGUGUUAUGUGUGAUUAUUUUAGUAAAUUUAAGCAUUAAUAGUUAUUCAGGAAGUGAAAUUGUUCAUGAUUGUGUGAAAUUCCUACCCGCAAUACUCACUAGAAUGGUUACUUACUCACUUCUUACAACUUCAGUUAUUAAAUCAUUGAAGAUCAAUCUUUCAAUAUCCAACACAAGAUUUGGUAUCUCAUUGCAGCAUUCUCUAGUUGUGGAAUGUUGCACCAAAUCGUCCGACACGAUGCUCGUCAAAAACUCGUCCUCGUUUGACAUGCCAAUGUUGCGAUUAUUAUGCUAUAGUUUAUCGAUUUCUGGUGGAUAGUAUGUCCAGAAGGUGUUGUCCUUCUGGUUUUCUUCCUUCUGGAUGAUAUGGCUUGUAAGAAAGAACUCUCUGUAAUUAGCUUUUGAAAUAGAAUUUUGUUAACCACGUCAAAUACGAGCUUUCUUUGCAUACCUAAAUCUUUUGAGAUGUCUGAUUGCCUUUUUACCGGAGAAGGUGGAUCUUCUCCAUAGAAUGAAGCAUCAAGAACCGACACAGGACUAGGUUGUUCCGCAGUAGCUUUUGGUUCAGCCGUAAAUUUUCAUUGCUCAAGUCUUUUUCUACAUUCUGAUAAAUAAAUGAAUGUUAAUCCAACUGAUUUAUAUGCAAGAAUCUGAUUUUCGGUGGAAGAAAUACUUACAUUUUUGUUGAGGCCUUUUAGUUGAAUGGAGUUACUAUUGAUCAUUUCAGAAUAAUCACUGCGAAUAUGUAUGUCCCUUUUGAGUGCUUUAUACAUGAACUCAUAUAUGUAGUUUAAUUUCCCUUUUGCUGCUUGACGUAUGUCCUCUAAUGCUCUAGAUUAUCCUGUUAUUGAUGGGAUAUUUGUUGUUGAACCUUCCUUGCUUUAGGCUGAAGGUGAUGUUUUUAUUGUGCCACUUGAUCUGUCUGUUGUGCUUGUUAAAUUAUCUGUUGUGCCUGCGAUUCCGAAGUUGAUUUCUGAUGUUUUUAUUGAUGAGAUAUUUGUUGUAGUGCCACCUGAUUUCUGUCUGUUGUGCUUUUUUUUUUCCACUCAUUUUUCUAGGUAUUGGUUUUCUAUAUGAUAUCACAAUAACCCUCGCCUUAAAGUUAACAUCCUUUGUUAUCAUUUCAAAGGGAGAGAAGGAUAUAAAGAAACAGUGACAUGACAUUGAAGAUAAUAAUAAGCCAUUGCAUGAUAAUUAGGAUGAUUUAUCUCAUUUCUUUAAUUAGGAUAGUUUAUAAACUGUAGAAAACAUAAGUUUAAAAAAUGAAUUCAAAUUCCUAUAUCAAUACACAAAUAAAAACUGCACAGAUGGAAGAUCUAUUCAAAUACUUCACAUAGUACAAGGCUAGAAAGACAGAAGGCAUAUGUGAAGUCAUAGUGCUAACUUCAAUUAGCCUAGGGGUUAGCAUAGAUUACUAUGUAUACCUGGUACAAUUUUUCUAUGUUUGGAGCAUUUUUAAUAAGUUUAGUCAGUAUAUUCAUAUAGCUAGAAAAUCUUAGAUAUUUGUAUAAAGUAAGCAAAAAUGUAACACCGGGAAUACAAGGAACGAAGAAUGCAAUUGAUAAGCUACCAUAAAAAAAUCUUCAAAAGUCAACUCUGCAUAACUCAAGGUCUGAAGUGCUUUUCUACUUCUCUCAAUAUUGGCUUUCCAAAAGAUGCUCCUAGUCAGAGAGAGAUAGAGAAAAUUAAUUUAUUGACUGAAAUUAUUGGAAAUCUGAAAUGUUUUAUUCCAUACUCCCUUAACACCCAAGCCAGGAUAUCCAUCCAAUUUUUAAGUAGAAGAUGCUUCUAAACUGGAAACAAUAAAACCUACCAGGUAUGAGAACAUAAAGCCUCGAAAGCAGUUUCCAUCUCCCCAAGUACACCAACUGGCAGCAUAUUGCUCAGCAAGCACCGAACAAUAGAAAGAUUCAAGAAAUAUGACAACAUGCUAGGACAUGAUAUGACACAACACAAAAGAUAAUAGAGAUAAAAGUUUGACCAAUCAAACCUUGAUGAGAUAUUCUAAUUCUGACAUUGAAAUAUUCAACGUUUUACUAGCAGUAGAGAUAUGUUUACUGCUUAUUAUAAAUUUUCUAAGUGAUGUUAGUUUAUAUUUGUUUGAUUCUUAUAUGAUUAGCUAACUUCUGUGUAGCAGUGAGCCACUGAUGAAUUGCUUCCCUGUUUGUGGUGAGGUUCUUCAGAUUUCUGAUCAGUUGAACAACAUGAUCCACUUAACUCUUUGUUUUAACGAAGGGACUGGAAACCAAGUGAUGGCUGGAGGAUUCUUGACAGAUAAGCAGGCUUCAUAUGGGUACAAUGUUUGCAAGUUACUACUAAUUUAAGCCUUAAAAAACAGGAGAGCACGAUAUUUUUUUACCUAAUGGAUUAUAUAACUGUACUUUAGUGGCUUAUAUAUGGACUGUGGUAAUGUAUUUAUGAUUUCAAUAAUAUUAUGAGAUAAAAAAAAUCACACGUUUACUUUUUGGUUUAUAUAGCUGGUUCUUCAAUUUGAGUGAAUGGGUCCAUUUCUCAUCCUAUGAUAUCCGUAUCCAAUCUGGAUCCAGUUCUUCUCAUAUUCUGUCAUCAUGGCUAAACCAUAUAGCUCUUCUCCAAAAACAAAGAAGACGAAAGGUGCAACAUCAUUGGUAUGUUUCAUUGCCAAACUUCGUGAUGGUGAGAAAUACGAGAUUGAUUUUGAUCCGGAUACUUUUCAACCUAUUGGUCAGUAUGCUGCGAAGUUCAAGAGUUAUUUGUCAAUAACACAUAGCCUACUCAAGAGUGUGUAGCAAAGAUGUUAAAAAGAUUGGAAGAAAAGAUGGAAGGGCGAGUACUGAAGCAAAUGUUGCAUCUUAUGCGAUCUGGGGAAAAGAGUGUUCAAAAACGUGUAGCUCUUUCUCUUGCAUCUUAUGAGAUAUUUGUUUGUGUUGGAUGUAUUGUAGAUUUACUUGGAUGAGCAAUAUGUAAACAAUCCAAUACUUUUUGAUGUCACAUUCAUAGUUGAAUGGAAAAUGGAAUUUUUUGUCCGGCCUCUUCUUGAUUUCAGGCUUUUGAGUUCGAUGGUUUUUGUGAAUUUGUUUGGACUUCAUGUAAAAUAUAUGAUUUUGUUAGAUGUUCUUUGCUUUAGUUAUCUAAUCAGUUUAGUUAGUUGUUGUCAACUAGUGAAUACAUUUUUGGGUUGUAUGUUGAUAUGCUUUUCUUGAUUAAUACAUAAUUUUCCCUUAUUUUUAUGUGUAUGAUUUUCUAGUAUUUAAAAUAUUAUUCUUAGUACAAGAAAUGUGAAGAAAUGUGAUAACUAAAAUAGGGUGUAAUGUAGCAUACGAAAU